GUGGGGAAUCUUGCGCAAUGGGCGAAAGCCUGACGCAGCCAUGCCGCGUGAAUGAUGAAGGUCUUAGGAUUGUAAAAUUCUUUCACCGGGGACGAUAAUGACGGUACCCGGAGAAGAAGCUCCGGCUAACUUCGUGCCAGCAGCCGCGGUAAUACGAAGGGGGCUAGCGUUGCUCGGAAUUACUGGGCGUAAAGGGCGCGUAGGCGGACAGCUUAGUCAGAGGUGAAAGCCCAGGGCUCAACCUUGGAAUUGCCUUUGAUACUGGCUGUCUUGAGUUUGGGAGAGGUGAGUGGAACUCCGAGUGUAGAGGUGAAAUUCGUAGAUAUUCGGAGGAACACCAGUGGCGAAGGCGGCUCACUGGUCCAUUACUGACGCUGAGGUGCGAAAGCGUGGGGAGCAAACAGGAUUAGAUACCCUUGUAGUCC
rnacentral:rRNA from 1 species